GACGAACGCUGGCGGCGUGCCUAAUACAUGCAAGUAGAACGCUGAAGAGAGGAGCUUGCUCUUCUUGGAUGAGUUGCGAACGGGUGAGUAACGCGUAGGUAACCUGCCUUGUAGCGGGGGAUAACUAUUGGAAACGAUAGCUAAUACCGCAUAACAAUGGAUGACACAUUUCUUUUAUUUGAAAGGGGCAAUUGCUCCACUACAAGAUGGACCUGCGUUGUAUUAGCUAGUAGGUGAGGUAAUGGCUCACCUAGGCGACGAUACAUAGCCGACCUGAUAAGGUGAUCGGCCACACUGGGACUGAGACACGGCCCAGACUCCUACGGGGGACAGCAGUGGGGAAUCUUCGGCGAUGGGGGCAACCCUAACCGAGCAACGCCGCGUGAGUGAAGAAGGGUUUCGGAUCGUAAAGCUCUGUUGUAAGUCAAGAACGGGUGUGAGAGUGGAAAGGUCACACUGUGACGGUAGCUUACCAGAAAGGGACGGCUAACUACGUG
rnacentral:rRNA from 1 species